rnacentral:rRNA from 1 species
UGGGGAAUAUUGGACAAUGGGGGGAACCCUGAUCCAGCCAUGCCGCGUGUGUGAAGAAGGCCUUAUGGUUGUAAAGCACUUUAAGCGAGGAGGAGGGUACUGGUAUUAAUACUACCAGCUACUGGACGUUACUCGCAGAAUAAGCACCGGCUAACUCUGUGCCAGCAGCCGCGGUAAUACAGAGGGUGCGAGCGUUAAUCGGAUUUACUGGGCGUAAAGCGUGCGUAGGCGGCUAAUUGAGUCGGAUGUGAAAUCCCCGAGCUUAACUUGGGAAUUGCCUUCGAUACUGGUUAGCUAGAGUGUGGGAGAGGAUGGUAGAAUUCCAGGUGUGGCGGUGAAAUGCGUAGCGAUCUGGAGGAAUACCGAUGGCGAAGGCAGCCAUCUGGCCUAACACUGACGCUGAGGUACGAAAGCAUGGGGAGCAAACAGG